rnacentral:lncRNA from 1 species
GGACAAAUAACUUGAUGAAAAGGAGCCUUGAUCCCAGGCUGGCUGUGUUGUCAGCAGCAACAACGGUUGAUCCAAAGCUGCUGGCCCAGGGCCUCCAGGCUCUUCAAGACCCGGUUUUCAGCUCCCGGACAGUAGAAACAGCUCUGUAGCAGUGGGGCAAAUGUGGCCAAGAAGAAACUGCGUCCCUGCAUUCCUGCCCUCUGAACAACUGAGCUGGCAGAUAGCAGAGGCGCCUUGGGAGAGCACAUCCUCUGGAGGGUCCAGGACCAGAGUGGACAGGCACAUACCCUACCACACUUGCAGGAGCUCCCACAACAACUGCAUUGAUCCCAUUAUUCUGUUCAAACACUGACAGUUGUGGGCUGACCCAGGGUUUGAAAUGUGAUGUCCAAGCAACUGUUGGGCUACAUUAGCCUGGUUCAAGGGCUUCUUCCAAUCUCUGGCUCAGGCAGCUACAGCCAGCACACACAGGUGAGGGAAGGAGCAGGGACAUCUGCCCCACCUGCCCACUCAGCAAAACCUUGCUUUCUCCCUGUCUCAACAGACAUUUGAGUCAGAAGGAGGCCUCGGAUCUGGGGAGAAAAUCUUCGGGCUCAUUAAACCUCACAGUUUGUUCUACCUGGACCUCAUCUGCCCAGCUACAGGAGCUUCCAUGGCCCAGCAGUUUCCACCGAAUAGUUCAGGAGCCAGUGUUCACUCUUUGCAAUGGUGAGCCUCCAGUGAUUUCAGCUGUCAAGUGUUGCUGAUCCCCAGAUUCCUACGAAGGAGAUAGGCAAAGCUUGUAGUCUUCCCUUCCGAAUUUAAUUUAAGCUGCAUGUGUAAUAGAGAUGCAUCACUCGUAUGGAUAGCAGCAACUAAGAAGAAUGAAUAAGUCAGUCAAAUAUGAAGUGCAAAGCAAUUUCAUUCCUUAAAAAACUACAAGAUAGAACAAAGCAUCCACAUCUUUUGCCAGCUGUCUUUGGAAAACUGCUCUGUUUGCUCAUGCGCAGAAAAAAGCCAAGCCUGCGACGGUAUUGACAAGAGCAAGAUGAAUGACCCCCUGGAGACCAUAGGGAGGAGUGCAGUGACCUUCAGUGCUGCCAGAAGAAAAGUAUUUGGCAUCUCAUUGUAAAAGUAGGAUGCACAGCAGAAAAACUUAGCCAACUUUAUCUCUCUGCCCCACUCCCGGAUGAUUCCUCCACCCUCGGGACAAAAUAACAUCAAGGGAGAGGAUCGACUCCCCUUCCAGGCUUGUCAUUUUGGGGAGAGAAUCGUGAGGUGACAAGGAGGGAACAAAACACACACAGCAGCACCCAAAACAAGGGAGCGAAAAUGGUCCCACAGCCACUGGCCACCAAGGCUGCCGUGGGGGUGGGACCACGAUGACCAUGGACACCCAAGUUCUCUCUGGGCUUCAAAUGCUGCGUUAUUUUGAAUGAACACCCAC